CCCUGCUCAAUGAUUUUCUAAUUAAAUAGCCGCAGUACCCUGACUGUGCAAAGGUAGCAUAAUCAUUUGGCUUAUAAUUGAAGUCUAGUAUGAAAGGGAUAAUGGGUAAAGACUGUCUUAAAAAUGUAUCUGGAACUUACUUAUUAGGUGAAAAUUCCUAAUUAUAGAAAAAAGACGAGAAGACCCUAGAAAUUUAAUUUAUUUUUUUAUAUAAAAAUUUUGUUGGGGCGACAGGGUAACAAAAAACUUACCUAAAUAUAUAAGAACUUUAUAAAUAGUAUAAUAAAAUUACUCUAGGGAUAACAGCAUAAUUCUAUAGAGUUUGUGACCUCGAUGUUGGACUAGGAAAGUCUUUACCUAAAAGGUAAAUGUACCCGCUCUGUUCGAGCCUAUUUUCUCCUACGUGAUCUGAGUUCAGACCGGA
rnacentral:rRNA from 1 species